rnacentral:lncRNA from 1 species
AUCACUGUGAGUCUGACCCCCGACCUCCACCUUCAUCCUGAUGGUCUCCUAAAAGGUCGUAUCCUCCGAUCGUAGCUGAUCGUAACCAUUCAAGUUAACGUGUCAAUUUACACCGACUUCUUUCCGUUCCUCUGCGGAUCGCCGGACUCCUCAGCUGAUCACAAGAGUUCUAUUUUUUCUGGACGCCGGAGCAUGGCGGAUAAAUUCAGCACAGAUUAACCAGUGCUGGAAAGGAAGUCGGGCACAGACACAAAAUAAAACAUCCGGCUUCUUUUCAAAAUAAAACACUCCGUGUUUCAGGAGGAUCGUAUUUCACACCGUGCAAACGGGCGGAGACGAACAAGUGAAAGGUUUUUAGACGUCAUUUCACCCCGAUGACACCAUGGAUGAGGAGAUGCUGAUUCUAGAAGUCUAGAAGUAGAUUUCCUCCUCUGGAAGGACACAAUCUACUGCUUAUAUGUCUAUGUGUCUGUCUUUAGAGAGACGACUCGUUAUCGUGAGAUUGAA